AUUGAACGCUGGCGGCAUGCUUUACACAUGCAAGUCGAACGGUAACAGGCCUUCGGGUGCUGACGAGUGGCGAACGGGUGAGUAAUGCAUCGGAACGUGCCCAGAGGUGGGGGAUAACGCAGCGAAAGCUGUGCUAAUACCGCAUGUGAUCUGAGGAUGAAAGCGGGGGACCAGGCAGCAAUGUUUGGCCUCGCGCCUUUGGAGCGGCCGAUGUCAGAUUAGGUAGUUGGUGGGGUAAAGGCCUACCAAGCCGACGAUCUGUAGCUGGUCUGAGAGGACGACCAGCCACACUGGGACUGAGACACGGCCCAGACUCCUACGGGAGGCAGCAGUGGGGAAUUUUGGACAGUGGGCGCAAGCCUGAUCCAGCAAUGCCGCGUGCGGGAAGAAGGCCUUCGGGUUGUAAACCGCUUUUGUACGGAACGAAAAGGCUCUGGCUAAUACCUGGGGCUGAUGACGGUACCGUAAGAAUAAGCACCGGCUAACUACGUG
rnacentral:rRNA from 1 species